rnacentral:lncRNA from 1 species
CGGGGAAGGCGGCGCGCGCAGAGGUUGCCGUUGGGGUGCGACAGCUGAGGCUUGGCUGCUGCCUAGGGUUUUGUUUUUUUUUUUUUUGGUUUUGGGCUAGGGUUAGCUUUUAGGUUGUUGGGCCUGUUUUUGGGUUUGGCAAUUUGGGCCUGUUUCAUUUAUUUUGGUUUUAGUUUAAAUUUGGUUUUAUUAUUUGUAUAUGGGCUGGGCAAAUUUUGGGUUUGUACAGCUGCUCCUCUUUGCUCAUUGUCGUGUAACGGGAAUGAAGUAAAGACUUUAACAAGGCCAAGUUUGCCCAGUUUUAUCGAGUCUUGACUUCUUUUGGUGAAU